GAUUUUGGUUUGAUUUCUGUGCCAGAUGUUUUCUAUCGCCGCCUUACUGAAAGAGACGAAUUUGUUAUUCUUGCUACUGACGGGGUUUGGGACGUCCUUUCAAAUAAGGAAGCCAUUGAUAUUGUGGCGUCAGCCCCUAGUCGCUCAA